AUUGAACGCUGGCGGGAUGCUUAACACAUGCAAGUCGAACGAGUGGCGGACGGGGGAGUAAUGCUUGGGCAUCUAGCCUAUGGAUGGGGAUAACUACGGGUAACUGUAGCUAAUACCGCGUACAAUAGGAUGAGCCCAAGUGGGAUUAGGUAGUUGGUGAGGUAAAGGCUCACAAAGCCGACGAUCUAUAGCUGGUCUGAGAGGAUGACCAGCCACACGGGGACUGAGACACGGCCCAGACUCCUACGGGAGGCAGCAGUGGGGAAUAUUGCGCAAUGGGGGCAACCUGACGCAGCCAUGCCGCGUGAGUGAAGAAGGCCUUCGGGUUGUAAAGUUCUUUCGGUAGCGAGGCGUUAACUACAGAAGAAGCACCGGCUAACUCCGUGCCAGCAGCCGCGGUAAUUC
rnacentral:rRNA from 1 species